AUUCCUCCACCCAAAACCUGUCUUCUGAUAACGAAAACCCCUCUUUUGCUAUGGGCCACCCUAUUUGCUUGCCUAUCAACAUGAUGGAAGGAGAUAUGCUGAAAAGAACACGCCUUGAUCUUUAUCUCUUCAAUGUAAGUUCCCAUAUCGUAGUCCAAGAAUCACCCUCCAUUUGAACAUGAUUAAAACCCAUUUCAUGAUUUAAGCUUAAAUUAUAAAACGAUAAUAUUUUAAUUUAAGGACUAUUUUUGAAAAUGACAUAAGUUUUAUUUAAAAUAUAAUAAUAUGUUAUUUUAUUAAUCUCGUUUAAAUAAUCUUAAAAUUCUAUUGAUUAGAAGUAAUUCUUUAUACAUUUCUACCUACUAAAUAAUUAAUUAAAUUACAUAGUAUUUACUAUAAAUUAUUAAUAUUAAAUUUAACCAAAUUGCUUAAUUAUUAUUUAUUUAUACUUGAUUAAGGACCAGAUGAUAAUAAGGAGUAUAUAGUUAAUGUUAGAGAAAAAAUAAUCCAAUCAAUAUGGAAUGCUAGAGUAAUAGAUAAAAUUACAUAGGAUAUUUAUUUUUGGCUUUUAAGAGUAAAAAAAGUCCAUAGUAAAAAAAAUGAAAAAAAAAAUCAAUUAAACUAUUUUAAAAAAUUGCACCCUUUUGAGUUCUUAAUGACAAAAAAAAAAUCAGUUAUGUCCUAUUAAUAAAAAUUAUAGUUAACUGAAAAAAUUAAAAGUUAUAAAAAAUUAAUAAUUAAUUAAUAAAUAUUACAUUUGAAAUGAAUGUGGACGAAUAGUUGUCUAGGAUCAUUUGAAUAUGGACAAUUAUCUAGAUUCACUUUAGAUGAGUACAAAAGUAUAAAAACUUUAAAAAUUAAAAAAAUAUUAAUAAUCAUUUAAAAAUUUUAAAUAUAUUAAAAAAAUUAAAUUUUAGUAAUUUUAAUUUUUAUAUAUAUUCAAAUUUUAAAAAGUUGAAAUCGAAAAUUUUCAAAUAGAAAAAUUGAGCUUUUUAAUCAAUAAUAAUCAUCUUUAAUCCGAAGAAACUCCCAGUAGCCAGGCAUAUUCCUCGUGAAAUUAAAAAUGCCCUUCACAGCCUCAAUGAAGAACCGGUAAUACAGAGGAACUGAAACAAUGCGAAUACGCGAUUGGAAGGAACGUAGCCGCAUACGUUCAUGUUGCAGUCCAUUUUUUCUGCAGAUGAACCAGCAGGAGAAUCGUGGCCGUGAAUGUCAGCAUGGUCGACGUCACAGAGAAGAAGAGGAAUGUGAAGCCCAGCGAG
rnacentral:lncRNA from 1 species